UUGCCCAUCUAAGGCUAACUGUGCCUUAAAGUGGCCAACACAGAGGGGAAGAUUGUUUUCUCUCUAAAACCCUAAGCAAAAAUAUUGUUUGUGCUUUGGAUCCUGUCGAGAGGAACAAUG